GUAGGUGGAGAAGAAGCACCGGCCAACUACGUGCCAGCAGCUGCGGUAAUACGUAGGGUGCGAGCGUUGUCCGGAAUUACUGGGCGUAAAGAGCUCGUAGGUGGUUUGUCGCGUUGUUCGUGA
rnacentral:rRNA from 1 species